rnacentral:rRNA from 1 species
GUCUACGGCCAUGCCACCCUGAACAAGGCCGAUGUCUGAUCUCGGAAGCUAAGCAGGGUUGGGCCUGGUUAAUACUUGGAUGGGAGACCACCUAGGAAGACCAGGUGCUGUAGGCA